rnacentral:misc_RNA from 1 species
UCUAAAGUAACGACGAGCGGUGGGCCAGAAGGUGUAAUUAUAAAAAAUAAAUAAAAACUUUUCCAAUAAAGUGUCUGCCACAAGAUGAAUAUACUUCACGAAUAAUGAAAAAAACGAGUUCUAUUAAAUCAAAAACAAAAGAUUCAGUCGAUGUAUUCGAAAGUCGCAUCGUAGUAUCAAGCAACACAAUAACAACUUCUCAUAAGGAAAGUUCAAUAACUAUGACAGCUUACUACGAUUUUAAAAAUGAGUUGGAGGAGAUAGCUUUUACUAACUGUCCUUUAGAAAUAAACAGGAAAAUUAUUCAGGCUAUAAAUAUCUGUUUACCUUUUCACAAAUCUCUGCAUAGACUUUCAAUAAAAAGGUGUCU